GAUGAACGCUGGCGGCGUGCCUAAUACAUGCAAGUCGAGCGAACGGACGAGAAGCUUGCUUCUCUGAUGUUAGCGGCGGACGGGUGAGUAACACGUGGAUAACCUACCUAUAAGACUGGGAUAACUUCGGGAAACCGGAGCUAAUACCGGAUAAUAUUUUGAACCGCAUGGUUCAAAAGUGAAAGACGGUCUUGCUGUCACUUAUAGAUGGAUCCGCGCUGCAUUAGCUAGUUGGUAAGGUAACGGCUUACCAAGGCAACGAUGCAUAGCCGACCUGAGAGGGUGAUCGGCCACACUGGAACUGAGACACGGUCCAGACUCCUACGGGAGGCAGCAGUAGGGAAUCUUCCGCAAUGGGCGAAAGCCUGACGGAGCAACGCCGCGUGAGUGAUGAAGGUCUUCGGAUCGUAAAACUCUGUUAUUAGGGAAGAACAUAUGUGUAAGUAACUGUGCACAUCUUGACGGUACCUAAUCAGAAAGCCACGGCUAACUACGUGCCAGCAGCCGCGGUAAUACGUAGGUGGCAAGCGUUAUCCGGAAUUAUUUGGGCGUAAAGCGCGCGUAGGCGGUUUUUUAAGUCUGAUGUGGAAGCCCACGGCUCAACUGUGGAGGGUCAUUGGAAACUGGAAAACUUGAGUGCAGAAGAGGAAAGUGGAAUUCCAUGUGUAGCGGUGAAAUGCGCAGAGAUAUGGAGGAACACCAGUGGCGAAGGCGACUUUCUGGUCUGUAACUGACGCUGAUGUGCGAAAGCGUGGGGAUCAAACAGGAUUAGAUACCCUGGUAGUCCACGCCGUAAACGAUGAGUGCUAAGUGUUAGGGGGUUUCCGCCCCUUAGUGCUGCAGCUAACGCAUUAAGCACUCCGCCUGGGGAGUACGACCGCAAGGUUGAAACUCAAAGGAAUUGACGGGGACCCGCACAAGCGGUGGAGCAUGUGGUUUAAUUCGAAGCAACGCGAAGAACCUUACCAAAUCUUGACAUCCUUUGACAACUCUAGAGAUAGAGCCUUCCCCUUCGGGGGACAAAGUGACAGGUGGUGCAUGGUUGUCGUCAGCUCGUGUCGUGAGAUGUUGGGUUAAGUCCCGCAACGAGCGCAACCCUUAAGCUUAGUUGCCAUCAUUAAGUUGGGCACUCUAAGUUGACUGCCGGUGACAAACCGGAGGAAGGUGGGGAUGACGUCAAAUCAUCAUGCCCCUUAUGAUUUGGGCUACACACGUGCUACAAUGGACAAUACAAAGGGCAGCGAAACCGCGAGGUCAAGCAAAUCCCAUAAAGUUGUUCUCAGUUCGGAUUGUAGUCUGCAACUCGACUACAUGAAGCUGGAAUCGCUAGUAAUCGUAGAUCAGCAUGCUACGGUGAAUACGUUCCCGGGUCU
rnacentral:rRNA from 1 species